rnacentral:lncRNA from 1 species
CCUCCAGUGAGGGGGAAGUGCUUGGGAAUAAGCCUGCUGCCUGGAGGGAAAGCACAGCCCCUCCCUGAUUAGAACCCUGGCCCAGAGUUAGUGCUCAACCAAAGAAGAAAGUAAGACCAGUCGGUCAGUCAGUCGAUCAAGAAGCAUUUGGUGAGUGGCCGUCAUGGGCCAGGAGCUGCACUAAGACAAAAGUGGGAUCUCCCGCCCCCUCCAGCGGCUUCCUUCCAUUCUACUGGACUGGAACACCACAAGAUACAACACAAAACAACACACUGCAACAUCACGUAGCACAAUGUAUCACGUUCUUGAUCCAGCAGUGAUUGGUCUUGACUUGAAGACCUUCCAUCGUCCUGUGAGCCCUCUUCAAGCUGCUCUUCAAGGUGUCCCU